GGCCUCGGAUCAGGUAGGGAUACCCGCUGAACUUAAGCAUAUCAAUAAGCGGAGGAAAAGAAACCAACAGGGAUUGCCUUAGUAACGGCGAGUGAAGCGGCAAAAGCUCAAAUUCGAAAUCUGGUCUUUUAGGCCCGAGUUGUAAUUUGUAGAGGAAUAUUCGGCAAUGUCAUUGGUAUAAGUUUCCUGGAACGGAACGUCUUGGAGGGUGAGAACCCCGUAUAUUACUGAAUGACAACGCUAUGUGAAUAUCCUUCGAAGAGUCGAGUUGUUUGGGAAUGCAGCUCAAAAUGGGUGGUAAAUUCCAUCUAAAGCUAAAUAUUGGCCAGAGACCGAUAGUGCACAAGUAGAGUGAUCGAAAGAUGAAAAGCACUUUGGAAAGAGAGUGAAACAGUACGUGAAAUUGUUGAAAGGGAAGCGC
rnacentral:rRNA from 1 species